rnacentral:rRNA from 1 species
CCUACGGGUGGCAGCAGUGAGGAAUAUUGGUCAAUGGACGCAAGUCUGAACCAGCCAUGCCGCGUGCAGGAAGACGGCUCUAUGAGUUGUAAACUGCUUUUGUACGAGGGUAAACGCAGAUACGCGUAUCUUUCUGAAAGUAUCGUACGAAUAAGGAACGGCUAACUCCGUGCCAGCAGCCGCGGUAAGACGGAGGGUUCAAGCGUUAUCCGGAUUUAUUGGGUUUAAAGUGUGCGUAGGCGGUCGGAUAAGUUAGAGGUGAAAUCCCGGGGCUCAACUUCGGAAUUGCCUCUGAUACUGUUCGGCUAGAGAGUAGUUGCGGUAGGCGGAAUGUAUGGUGUAGCGGUGAAAUGCUUAGAGAUCAUACAGAACACCGAUUGCGAAGGCAGCUUACCAAGCUACUUCUGACGUUGAGGCACGAAAGCGUGGGGAGCAAACAGGAUUAGAUACCCCGGUAGUC